rnacentral:rRNA from 1 species
UACGAAGGGGGCUAGCGUUGCUCGGAAUCACUGGGCGUAAAGCGCACGUAGGCGGCUUUUUAAGUCAGAGGUGAAAUCCUGGAGCUCAACUCCAGAACUGCCUUUGAUACUGAGAGGCCUGAGUCCGGGAGAGGUGAGUGGAACUGCGAGUGUAGAGGUGAAAUUCGUAGAUAUUCGCAAGAACACCAGUGGCGAAGGCGGCUCACUGGCCCGGUACUGACGCUGAGGUGCGAAAGCGUGGGGAGCAAACAGG